rnacentral:rRNA from 1 species
UACGGAGGGGGCUAGCGUUGUUCGGAAUCACUGGGCGUAAAGCGCACGUAGGCGGCUUUGUAAGUUAGAGGUGAAAGCCCGGGGCUCAACUCCGGAAUUGCCUUUAAGACUGCAUCGCUAGAAUUGUGGAGAGGUAAGUGGAAUUCCGAGUGUAGAGGUGAAAUUCGUAGAUAUUCGCAAGAACACCAGUGGCGAAGGCGGCUCACUGGGUCAUUACUGACGCUGAGGCACGAAAGCGUGGGGAGCAAACAGG